rnacentral:rRNA from 1 species
UACGUAGGGGGCAAGCGUUGUCCGGAUUUAUUGGGCGUAAAGAGCGUGUAGGCGGCUAGGUAGGUCCGCUGUGAAAACUUGAGGCUCAACCUCAAGAGGUCGGUGGAAACCAUCUGGCUAGAGUCCGGAAGAGGAGAGUGGAAUUCCCGGUGUAGCGGUGAAAUGCGCAGAUAUCGGGAGGAACACCAGUGGCGAAGGCGACUACCUGGCCUGUUCUUGACGCUGAGGCGCGAAAGCUAGGGGAGCAAACAGG